AAGAACAUUCAAGAGAGAGAAAUUUGAGAGCAACAAACAAAGGCCAUUCGGCCAACUAAGAAAAAAAAAAUUGAACCAAAAAUUCCUUUCUUCUUGAAUCCUUACUAAGUUCAAGACCCUCUUCAACGUGGUAUAAUUUUUGAGGCAAGAAAACCACUUUUGUGACAAGUGCAAAAUUCUAUUCAAGUGGAAAAAGACAAGCAAGUUGGGACAAAUAAGCAUAGCUAAUAAGGCGUGGCACAGGUACACCCAGAUGAGUACGGGACUUUGCUAGAAGAUGCUUCAGCUAGAUUGGCAACUCCAUUUGCUCCUGGAGCGUUACCGAGUCAAAGUAUAUGUGCUGUAAUGUUUGUUCGAAGUUAGAGACUUUGCAGACAGAGUCGUGGGUAUAGUAUGUCGGUUUUGUAAGCGGCUCCAUCAGCCGAUAUGUCAUUUUGUAUUAUGUGAUAAACCCUGUAGGAUUACAUAUUUUGUCUGAUUCGAAAACAUUGAUGAAAGAAAGAUUUGAAAGCUUACUAUAUAUUUCACUACUAAUUAAUUUCA